UGGCGGCAAUAGCGCCGUGGAACCACCUGAUCCCAUGCCGAACUCAGAAGUGAAACGCGGUAGCGCCGAUGGUAGUGUGGCAUUCGCCAUGCGAGAGUAGGACACUGCCAGGCA
rnacentral:rRNA from 1 species